UGGGGAAUUUUGGACAAUGGGCGAAAGCCUGAUCCAGCAAUGCCGCGUGUGUGAAGAGGGCCUUCGGGUUGUAAAGCACUUUUGUCCGGAAAGAAAUCCUUGGCUCUAAUACAGUCGGGGGAUGACGGUACCGGAAGAAUAAGCACCGGCUAACUACGUGCCAGCAGCCGCGGUAAUACGUAGGGUGCAAGCGUUAAUCGGAAUUACUGGGCGUAAAGCGUGCGCAGGCGGUUUGCUAAGACCGAUGUGAAAUCCCCGGGCUCAACCUGGGAACUGCAUUGGUGACUGGCAGGCUAGAGUAUGGCAGAGGGGGGUAGAAUUCCACGUGUAGCAGUGAAAUGCGUAGAGAUGUGGAGGAAUACCGAUGGCGAAGGCAGCCCCCUGGGCCAAUACUGACGCUCAUGCACGAAAGCGUGGGGAGCAAACAGGAUUAGAUACCCUGGUAGUCCACGCCCUAAACGAUGUCAACUAGUUGUUGGGGAUUCAUUCCUUAGUAACGUAGCUAACGCGUGAAGUUGACCGCCUGGGGAGUACGGUCGCAAGAUUAAAACUCAAAUGAAUUGACGGGGUCAUAGCUGUUUCCU
rnacentral:rRNA from 1 species